UUCACUUAAAGUAAACUUUGGUUAUAUUAUUCAGGUCCAAUUCCAAGUUCAACUGACUGGUUGGAUGUAGUUCGUCCAGUUAUUGAGAAACGAAUUCAAAAAUAUAAUGAGGGAGAGAUCCAUUUCAACCUUAUGGCUAUUAUCUCAGACAGAAAAAUGAUCUAUCAAA